rnacentral:rRNA from 1 species
UCGAACGGCAGCACGGGGGCAACCCUGGUGACGAGUGGCGAACGGGUGAGUAAUACAUCGGAACGUGUCCUUUCGUGGGGGAUAACCAGUCGAAAGACUGGCUAAUACCGCAUGAGAUCUCACGAUGAAAGCGAGGGACCGCAAGGCCUCGCGCGAUUGGAGCGGCCGAUGUCGGAUUAGCUAGUUGGCGGGGUAAAAGCCCACCAAGGCGACGAUCCGUAGCUGGUUUGAGAGAACGACCAGCCACACUGGGACUGAGACACGGCCCAGACUCCUACGGGAGGCAGCAGUGGGGAAUUUUGGACAAUGGGCGCAAGCCUGAUCCAGCCAUGCCGCGUGUGUGAAGAAGGCCUUCGGGUUGUAAAGCACUUUCGGCCGGAACGAAAUCGCCUCCGUUAAUAGCGGGGGUGGAUGACGGUACCGGAAGAAGAAGCACCGGCUAACUACGUGCCAGCAGCCGCGGUAAUACGUAGGGUGCGAGCGUUAAUCGGAAUUACUGGGCGUAAAGGGUGCGCAGGCGGUUGCGCAAGUCAGGCGUGAAAUCCCCGGGCUUAACCUGGGAAUGGCGCUUGAAACUACGUGACUGGAGUAUGGCAGAGGGAGGUGGAAUUCCACGUGUAGCGGUGAAAUGCGUAGAGAUGUGGAGGAACACCGAUGGCGAAGGCAGCCUCCUGGGCCAAUACUGACGCUCAUGCACGAA